UUUCCUUCUCUGCUUCUGUAAGCUGAGGCUGUGAGAACAGGGGCUGCCUUGCUUCGAUACUUAAGCCAAAGUUGGCCCAUGAGAUUGUAGAAAGGUUAACCGGCUCUGCAGCAAGAAAAACAUAGGAAGGCUAUGAAUUAAUCUAUUCACUGUCUUCCCCCUCAUUCGUUCCCACAUAGCCCCCAUUAUCUUCCAUGAACCUAAACAGCCAGUGCUGUGUCACUACUGGUGGACCUCCCAAGAGCUUCCUCUGUCCCUAAAAGUGGGGCGCCAAUUCAUACCCAGGAAGAGCAACCACAGCUUCCACCCUCUCCCUACAUAAAAAUUAUAGCCAUUCCAGGGAUACUGCUGAGCAUGGACUAGCAAGACCCAAACUGGGGGACAUGGUGUACCAGAAAACCUGGGAGCACACCUUGGACCCAGUCCAAGAGGCGCAGAGGCAAUAUCCCAAUGGAAGCCACCAAGAGGCAAACCAGGAAAACAGGAGCUAACAUCAGGAAUCUGCCAGGCAGAACAACCAACAGGGGGCAGUGACUCCAAAUUGACUAUAGGAGGUGCUGGCCUGAUUCCGGGAGACAGCAGGACCCUCAACCUCUUGGGUGUAUAUGCUUCCAAGAAGAUGAAUGUGUGUGUCUCUAUGGGCACCACUGGGCCUCCAGUGCAUUCCAUAUGGGACCCUACCUCUUUCUGGCACCUGUAGUCAAGCUGCCCUUUCCUAUGGGGACCUAAGGGGAACUGAUUCCCUCGCUCUUUGUCGCAAGCUGCAAAGCCAGCACUCAGCUCUGAGAUGAAGGCAGGAUAAGCAGCAGGACCUCCCCGGUAGUGAGCAGAUGGAUUAGGACUAAUUUUGCAAAGGCACCUGAUUUAAUAUAUAUUGUUGAUUCGUUACAUUGAACAACUCGUGGCCAACAACGCCACAACUCAUGCCUGUGUGAAGCUUCUCUAACACACGGAUUUCCUCCAGGAAGCACAUCACAGCCUUCUCAUGCUUGGGAACACCAGACGGCUCUUCUGUGCUGUGCUUGGGACCAUCUUAAACAGUGAAAUCACUAUCAAAAACACAAAUUGGUGACAAACCAUGGCACUAAAUAGACUGUGAAAAGGACAAUUGUUUACAACGUGCGAGCUGGAGCAAGAAGGCAGAGCGUUGCUUUGCUCAACUCAGUGGGAUGUGUGCCUUGGGUGACUCAAAUGUUUCAAAGCUCUGUGCACAUCCACCAGUGAGCAUGAAAGCACCUCGGGUAUCAAUUUUGGGGUUACUAAUCGAUUUCAGCAGUGGGAGAAUUCACAAAUACGGAAUCUGUAAAUGAUGAGGAUGGGCUGUUUUGUUGUUUUCAGCUGCUGAGUUUGUGAUCACUUGUUAGGCAGCCAUCGCCAACUAACUCAGUCUCUCACUGCCGUCACUCUGCCUGCCGGCAAACCCCAGCCAAGCUCCCUCUCAGAAAUAAAAUUCUGUUUCCGGUGAA
rnacentral:lncRNA from 1 species